AUACGGAGGGGGUUAGCGUUGUUCGGAAUUACUGGGCGUAAAACGCACGUAGGCGGACUGGAAAGUUGGGGGUGAAAUCCCGGGGCUCAACCUCGGAACUGCCUCCAAAACUUCCAAUCUAGAGAUCGAGAGAGGUGAGUGGAAUUCCAAGUGUAGAGGUGAAAUUCGUAGAUAUUUGGAGGAACACCAGUGGCGAAGGCGGCUCACUGGCUCGAUACUGACGCUGAGGUGCGAAAGCGUGGGGAGCAAACAGGAUUAGAUACCCUAGUAGUCC
rnacentral:rRNA from 1 species